rnacentral:rRNA from 1 species
CAUGCAAGUCGAACGAAGCACUUAUCUUUGAUUCUUCGGAUGAAGAGGUUUGUGACUGAGUGGCGGACGGGUGAGUAACGCGUGGGUAACCUGCCUCAUACAGGGGGAUAACAGUUAGAAAUGACUGCUAAUACCGCAUAAGACCACAGAGCCGCAUGGCUCAGUGGGAAAAACUCCGGUGGUAUGAGAUGGACCCGCGUCUGAUUAGGUAGUUGGUGGGGUAACGGCCUACCAAGCCAACGAUCAGUAGCCGACCUGAGAGGGUGACCGGCCACAUUGGGACUGAGACACGGCCCAAACUCCUACGGGAGGCAGCAGUGGGGAAUAUUGCACAAUGGGGGAAACCCUGAUGCAGCGACGCCGCGUGAGCGAAGAAGUAUUUCGGUAUGUAAAGCUCUAUCAGCAGGGAAGAAAAUGACGGUACCUGACUAAGAAGCACCGGCUAAAUACGUGCCAGCAGCCGCGGUAAUACGUAUGGUGCAAGCGUUAUCCGGAUUUACUGGGUGUAAAGGGAGCGUAGACGGCUGUGUAAGUCUGAAGUGAAAGCCCGGGGCUCAACCCCGGGACUGCUUUGGAAACUAUGC